GGCGAGGGAGGAAAGCCGGAGGCGGAGGCCGGAGGCGGAGGCGGCAACACCGUCGGCGAGGGGCGGGUGGGAUAGGCGGAGAGGCGAGCCUGCAGGAGCGCGAGCGAUCACGCGACGGCACGGGCGUGCGGUCCCCUUCGCCACCGCUGCCCACUUCUCCGUCGCACGCAUUGGAGGUGGAUUGGCAAGCUCAUGAAGAUAUGCUAGUCCUCUGGCCGAUCCUAGAGCAAUCCUAAGCCUUUUCUUCCAAUCCAGGUAAAUUCCUCUUGCUGCAUAAGUAUAUUUCUUAUAGUAAAACAUGAAAGGAAAAGAAAGAACAUAACACUUUUGGAUUUGUAAUUAUUAGAUUGCGUGUACAUACCUUGUAAGUUCUGUCUUAAUGUUCCAUUGCUAACAUAUUCAUAUACCAGCAUCUGCUCCCCUUGUUCAUAGCAAAAUCCUAUCAGACUUACCAGGUUCUUGUGAUGAACUCUGGAUAGCAGCUCGAUUUCAUUUUUGAAUUCCAAUGCACCUUGCUUCGAUCCAUACUCUGCUCGUUUUAUUGCCACACUUGUUCCAUCUGCUAGUAUUCCCUUGUAAACCUUUCACAUGCAGAGGUGAAUCACUACAUGUAGCUGUCUGUGCAAAACCCCUUAAAGGAAUGCUGGUAAGUGAUAGUUUCAGUAUAUAUAGUAUAGUUGUUUACCUUUCCAUAACCUCCUGAUCCUAUUUCAUUGUUUUCCGCAAAAUUGUUGGUGCAAGUAUUUAGUUCAUCAAAAGAGAAAAGCCUUGCUCCUUUAAGCUGUGGGGCACCUCCCCUGUCUUUUUGAGCAAUUCCCCAUGAAGCUAAAAUUUGAAUAUGCACAAGGUAAAUAAUCAGCAAAGUUAUAUCCUGCUACAGUUCCAUUUUUAGGGGGGAUACAGUAGGAGAAACCCGUACUAUGGUAAAUAUAUUAAUAAAGGGAAAUAAUAAAAAAUACUGUAGAAGAAGCAAGUGCCGGGCCCAAGGAAACCAAAAUCAUAAGCUAUAAUAAUUUUUCUCGGGAUUGUAACUGUUUACACGCUUUUGAUCACUAUAUUUUGUAGUUAUAGGCACAUUUUCUGUAACAGUUUGUAAGCUUUGAAAGGGGUAUGGAACAAUAGGAAUGGAAAACAGGGGGACUGGUUUGCAUCCGACCUUUUUAGUACACAUAACCUCUGUCAAUUCUGCAGUAUAUGCCUUCCAUAUCUCUAGGUUAGCCGAUUAGGCUACCAUAUUUCCCUUUGUUCCAAAUUAUAGGUCAUUUUGGCUUUUCUAGAUACAUAACAUUUGCUAUGCACCUAGGUGUACAUUAUGUCUAGAUACAUAGGAAAAACUAUGUAUCUAAAAAGACCAAAACGACCUAUAAUUUGGAACGAAGGGAGUAGUUAACUAGCUUGAAUCCUGAUUAAUUACAUCUAUAUAAUAUACACAAAUUUAUGAAGUAAACUUUGUUUUACAAAUCUAGCACCAAUAAGCUCUGUAACAGCUGUAGCAAAUUAUUGGUACUGUAUAACUGUUACUGUCAAUUCUCAUCAAAUAUAUCUCAUAUACAUUUCCAUUUUUCUCUUGACCAAUUAGAGAAUUUGUAACCCCCCCCCCCCUUUAUUUAUUAGUUUUAUGCUUUUAUUGGGGUGCCUUAUUGACUAAAAAUAAAGUACUUUAAAGGGCGACCAUGGUAAACACAUCUCAAUAAUGUCAUGUUUCUCUUCUUAAAAAGUACCCGGCAGCUUUGAGGGCUGUAUAGUUGUCAACGAUAUUUGGAACCUCACCAAAAGGAUUUGUUUGUCCUGAUAAUUCCUCUGUCCUUCUCUUUUGUAAAAAAGAAAAUAUUGCCCAAGAAGUUAGGGCAGUCAGAACAAGACCACAUGCUACUGCAAUUCCAGCAACAGCACCUGUACUUAUCUUUGGUUUUCCACUGUCAUCUUCUCCUGGGACAAGAUAGUGCAAUGUUUUUCAUACAUAUUUAAUUACAUUAAGACAUAAUUUUACAUGAUUAUAUUUGAUUAUUCGAAUACCUGCAAAGUGUGCAUAUGGAUCUGCGACGAAGAAAUAAGGUCCAAAACCUGGUGGUGGCUUGUAUGCUUGACUGCUAAGCUCAGAGCCUAUCCUUGUUACUUCUGACACGUUGAAGGAUGUUCCAGUAGAUGGAAACAUUCUCACUUUAACCUGGAGGUAAUCAUCACUUGUGAAACUGAUAUCAGAAAGGAAAACUGAACCAGCCUGCAGUCCCAGCUCUGUCCAGAGGCCUGUUUCCAAUUGCUGAAAGUGCUCAUUGUUUGUCAAGUCUGCAAAUAGCAGUGACCUGAAGAAAAUCGUACCCAUGUAUGGGUAGGCACAGCCACAAUUCGCAGGGUUUAGGCUUUGAUCACUGGAACAUGAAGUUGAACCGCAUUUGGUUAUACUAGUAACGUUUGGUAUUAUGCUGUCUUGCUGAAUGCUGCAAAAGCGGCUACUGGAGAAUUCAGAAUCCAAGCACACAGGAUUCCCCACAAGUCUGCCGAUAGAGGAAGAGGCAAUUCUAGUGAGUAAAUGGAGAAGAGAAACAAUACAUAAUCUUUGGUUUUAGAGUAAGCAAGUACUCACACUAGUGUUCUAUUGUAGCCUUGUGUUAUAUUGGCCUCAACUAUUCGAUUGUUUAGGAGAUUUACUCUCUGCAGAUGUUGGCUGAUGUUACCAGUCAUGUCAAGUGUCCCGUUAAAGGCAUUAUUGCUUAGUAUACUGUCUGAUCAGUGGAAAAAACAAGCAAAUAUGAGAAACUUCUAUACUUAUUAUUAAGAUUCGUCUUGUUAUAUGUUGCUAGAAAAUUACACUUGCUGCAAUUCUGGCAAGGUAAAGAUCCUGUUGGGAACCUGGCCAUACAGUCCUCCAGAAGCUAUAUCUCUGCAAAUAAGGGUCUUAAGGUAACACGGUUUCACUGAACGAGAAAAGAUAGCACUGAGAUACGUGAGAUGAUCAAAUAGUGCAUGUCUUAACUCACAUUGAAGUAAGUGUUUUCAGUUCCAGAAACCAGGCUGGUAGGACAGACGGAUCAAAUGAAUUGUUGCUUAAAUCACUGGGUGUGAAAAGAAGCAUUCAUCAGGACUUGUCACAGUUUUUUUAUAUCAGAAGACAGUGUAGAAAAAAGAAAGCAAGAGCAAGAUCUUACAUGGCAUUAAGUUUUGUCAGGGCACUGAGAUCUGGCAUUGUUCCACUUAGCUGGUUGUCUGCAAAGUUCCUGAACAAGGUAGUUAUUCAAAUGAGAUACACUAUAAUCUGAUAACUCAUGCAAAUGUCUCACUCAAUUGACACAGCACUUACAGUCCAUUUAGGUUGACAAGGUUACUGAUGUUGGUUGGAACUGCUCCUGUGAAUCUGUUCCUAUCUAAUCGGCUGAUGAAGGAAGCGACAUUAUUGCUGAGAACAGAGUUGGAGGGAAGAGAAAUGCCAAGAUACUUACAUAAUCUGGAGGCUGGUGAUGCUACCAAGUUCAGCAGGGAUAGAACCAGACAAUUGAUUGUUAUCAAAUAAUCUGAUGAAUGUAAACAAAGUGGUCACUAUAAUCCUAGAACAUGUCUAUAGGAGUUGUUAUCAGUAGAAAUCACCUUCAUCUUACAUGUGUUCGAGUCUCAUGCUAGAGCUGAAGAGGCCGUUGAGAGUGCCAGUUAAUUGGUUUUUAUUGAAA